rnacentral:rRNA from 1 species
CCUACGGGAGGCAGCAGUGAGGAAUAUUGGUCAAUGGACGCAAGUCUGAACCAGCCAUGCCGCGUGCAGGAAGACGGCUCUAUGAGUUGUAAACUGCUUUUGUACGAGGGUAAACGCAGGUACGCGUAUCUGUCUGAAAGUAUCGUACGAAUAAGGAUCGGCUAACUCCGUGCCAGCAGCCGCGGUAAUACGGAGGAUUCAAGCGUUAUCCGGAUUUAUUGGGUUUAAAGGGUGCGUAGGCGGUCGGAUAAGUUAGAGGUGAAAUCCCGAGGCUCAACUUCGGAAUUGCCUCUGAUACUGUUAGGCUAGAGAGUAGUUGCGGUAGGCGGAAUGUAUGGUGUAGCGGUGAAAUGCUUAGAGAUCAUACAGAACACCGAUGGCGAAGGCAGCUUACCAAGCUACUUCUGACGUUGAGGCACGAAAGCGUGGGGAGCAAACAGGAUUAGAUACCCCUGUAGUC